AUGUGUGACUCAACAUGAGAAAUAAGGUGGAGUAAUACAUCCAGUAUGUAAAAACAAAAAAAACUUUAUCUUGAGGUAUUUCAAUAUAAACAGUGUGUAUGGUUUGUGACAAAUUCUGGGGAGGCCACAUGGAAACCUGUUGCAACCAAUGGGAGGAGCACCCAUUCAAUCUGAGUUUGUGAAAUUCUUCUGGUUGUCAGAGGAGCGCCUGUUCAAAUGGGGUUUUGUG